rnacentral:rRNA from 1 species
GGGUUGUGAGGUUAAGCGACUAAGCGUACACGGUGGAUGCCCUGGCAGUCAGAGGCGAUGAAGGACGUGCUAAUCUGCGAUAAGCGUCGGUAAGGUGAUAUGAACCGUUAUAACCGGCGAUUUCCGAAUGGGGAAACCCAGUGUGAUUCGUCACACUAUCAUUAACUGAAUCCAUAGGUUAAUGAGGCGAACCGGGGGAACUGAAACAUCUAAGUACCCCGAGGAAAAGAAAUCAACCGAGAUUCCCCCAGUAGCGGCGAGCGAACGGGGAGCAGCCCAGAGCCUGAAUCAGUGUGUGUGUUAGUGGAAGCGUCUGGAAAGGCGCGCGAUACAGGGUGACAGCCCCGUACACAAAAAUGCACAUGCUGUGAGCUCGAUGAGUAGGGCGGGACACGUGGUAUCCUGUCUGAAUAUGGGGGGACCAUCCUCCAAGGCUAAAUACUCCUGACUGACCGAUAGUGAACCAGUACCGUGAGGGAAAGGCGAAAAGAACCCCGGCGAGGGGAGUGAAAAAGAACCUGAAACCGUGUACGUACAAGCAGUGGGAGCACGCUUAGGCGUGUGACUGCGUACCUUUUGUAUAAUGGGUCAGCGACUUAUAUUCUGUAGCAAGGUUAACCGAAUAGGGGAGCCGAAGGGAAACCGAGUCUUAACUGGGCGUUAAGUUGCAGGGUAUAGACCCGAAACCCGGUGAUCUAGCCAUGGGCAGGUUGAAGGUUGGGUAACACUAACUGGAGGACCGAACCGACUAAUGUUGAAAAAUUAGCGGAUGACUUGUGGCUGGGGGUGAAAGGCCAAUCAAACCGGGAGAUAGCUGGUUCUCCCCGAAAGCUAUUUAGGUAGCGCCUCGUGAAUUCAUCUCCGGGGGUAGAGCACUGUUUCGGCAAGGGGGUCAUCCCGACUUACCAACCCGAUGCAAACUGCGAAUACCGGAGAAUGUUAUCACGGGAGACACACGGCGGGUGCUAACGUCCGUCGUGAAGAGGGAAACAACCCAGACCGCCAGCUAAGGUCCCAAAGUCAUGGUUAAGUGGGAAACGAUGUGGGAAGGCCCAGACAGCCAGGAUGUUGGCUUAGAAGCAGCCAUCAUUUAAAGAAAGCGUAAUAGCUCACUGGUCGAGUCGGCCUGCGCGGAAGAUGUAACGGGGCUAAACCAUGCACCGAAGCUGCGGCAGCGACGCUUAUGCGUUGUUGGGUAGGGGAGCGUUCUGUAAGCCUGUGAAGGUGUGCUGUGAGGCAUGCUGGAGGUAUCAGAAGUGCGAAUGCUGACAUAAGUAACGAUAAAGCGGGUGAAAAGCCCGCUCGCCGGAAGACCAAGGGUUCCUGUCCAACGUUAAUCGGGGCAGGGUGAGUCGACCCCUAAGGCGAGGCCGAAAGGCGUAGUCGAUGGGAAACAGGUUAAUAUUCCUGUACUUGGUGUUACUGCGAAGGGGGGACGGAGAAGGCUAUGUUGGCCGGGCGACGGUUGUCCCGGUUUAAGCGUGUAGGCUGGUUUUCCAGGCAAAUCCGGAAAAUCAAGGCUGAGGCGUGAUGACGAGGCACUACGGUGCUGAAGCAACAAAUGCCCUGCUUCCAGGAAAAGCCUCUAAGCAUCAGGUAACAUCAAAUCGUACCCCAAACCGACACAGGUGGUCAGGUAGAGAAUACCAAGGCGCUUGAGAGAACUCGGGUGAAGGAACUAGGCAAAAUGGUGCCGUAACUUCGGGAGAAGGCACGCUGAUAUGUAGGUGAAGUCCCUCGCGGAUGGAGCUGAAAUCAGUCGAAGAUACCAGCUGGCUGCAACUGUUUAUUAAAAACACAGCACUGUGCAAACACGAAAGUGGACGUAUACGGUGUGACGCCUGCCCGGUGCCGGAAGGUUAAUUGAUGGGGUUAGCGCAAGCGAAGCUCUUGAUCGAAGCCCCGGUAAACGGCGGCCGUAACUAUAACGGUCCUAAGGUAGCGAAAUUCCUUGUCGGGUAAGUUCCGACCUGCACGAAUGGCGUAAUGAUGGCCAGGCUGUCUCCACCCGAGACUCAGUGAAAUUGAACUCGCUGUGAAGAUGCAGUGUACCCGCGGCAAGACGGAAAGACCCCGUGAACCUUUACUAUAGCUUGACACUGAACAUUGAGCCUUGAUGUGUAGGAUAGGUGGGAGGCUUAGAAGUGUGGACGCCAGUCUGCAUGGAGCCGACCUUGAAAUACCACCCUUUAAUGUUUGAUGUUCUAACGUUGACCCGUAAUCCGGGUUGCGGACAGUGUCUGGUGGGUAGUUUGACUGGGGCGGUCUCCUCCUAAAGAGUAACGGAGGAGCACGAAGGUUGGCUAAUCCUGGUCGGACAUCAGGAGGUUAGUGCAAUGGCAUAAGCCAGCUUGACUGCGAGCGUGACGGCGCGAGCAGGUGCGAAAGCAGGUCAUAGUGAUCCGGUGGUUCUGAAUGGAAGGGCCAUCGCUCAACGGAUAAAAGGUACUCCGGGGAUAACAGGCUGAUACCGCCCAAGAGUUCAUAUCGACGGCGGUGUUUGGCACCUCGAUGUCGGCUCAUCACAUCCUGGGGCUGAAGUAGGUCCCAAGGGUAUGGCUGUUCGCCAUUUAAAGUGGUACGCGAGCUGGGUUUAGAACGUCGUGAGACAGUUCGGUCCCUAUCUGCCGUGGGCGCUGGAGAACUGAGGGGGGCUGCUCCUAGUACGAGAGGACCGGAGUGGACGCAUCACUGGUGUUCGGGUUGUCAUGCCAAUGGCACUGCCCGGUAGCUAAAUGCGGAAGAGAUAAGUGCUGAAAGCAUCUAAGCACGAAACUUGCCCCGAGAUGAGUUCUCCCUGACUCCUUGAGAGUCCUGAAGGAACGUUGAAGACGACGACGUUGAUAGGCCGGGUGUGUAAGCGCAGCGAUGCGUUGAGCUAACCGGUACUAAUGAACCGUGAGGCUUAACCUUACAACGCCGAAG